rnacentral:rRNA from 1 species
UGCAGUCGAGCGGACGGAUGGGAGCUUGCUCCCUGAAGUCAGCGGCGGACGGGUGAGUAACACGUGGGCAACCUGCCUGUAAGACUGGGAUAACUCCGGGAAACCGGGGCUAAUACCGGAUAACUCUUUUCCUCACAUGAGGAAAAGCUGAAAGAUGGUUUCGGCUAUCACUUACAGAUGGGCCCGCGGCGCAUUAGCUAGUUGGUGAGGUAACGGCUCACCAAGGCCACGAUGCGUAGCCGACCUGAGAGGGUGAUCGGCCACACUGGGACUGAGACACGGCCCAGACUCCUACGGGAGGCAGCAGUAGGGAAUCUUCCGCAAUGGACGAAAGUCUGACGGAGCAACGCCGCGUGAGUGAUGAAGGUUUUCGGAUCGUAAAACUCUGUUGUCAGGGAAGAACAAGUACCGGAGUAACUGCCGGUACCUUGACGGUACCUGACCAGAAAGCCACGGCUAACUACGUGCCAGCAGCCGCGGUAAUACGUAGGUGGCAAGCGUUGUCCGGAAUUAUUGGGCGUAAAGCGCGCGCAGGCGGUUCCUUAAGUCUGAUGUGAAAGCCCCCGGCUCAACCGGGGAGGGUCAUUGGAAACUGGGGAACUUGAGUGCAGAAGAGAAGAGUGGAAUUCCACGUGUAGCGGUGAAAUGCGUAGAGAUGUGGAGGAACACCAGUGGCGAAGGCGACUCUUUGGUCUGUAACUGACGCUGAGGCGCGAAAGCGU